rnacentral:rRNA from 1 species
ACGGGUGAGUAACGCGUGGGAAUCUACCCAUCUCUACGGAACAACUCCGGGAAACUGGAGCUAAUACCGUAUACGUCCUCCGGGAGAAAGAUUUAUCGGAGAUGGAUGAGCCCGCGUUGGAUUAGCUAGUUGGUGGGGUAAUGGCCUACCAAGGCGACGAUCCAUAGCUGGUCUGAGAGGAUGAUCAGCCACAUUGGGACUGAGACACGGCCCAAACUCCUACGGGAGGCAGCAGUGGGGAAUAUUGGACAAUGGGCGAAAGCCUGAUCCAGCCAUGCCGCGUGAGUGAUGAAGGCCCUAGGGUUGUAAAGCUCUUUCAACGGUGAAGAUAAUGACGGUAACCGUAGAAGAAGCCCCGGCUAACUUCGUGCCAGCAGCCGCGGUAAUACGAAGGGGGCUAGCGUUGUUCGGAAUUACUGGGCGUAAAGCGCACGUAGGCGGAUUGUUAAGUUAGGGGUGAAAUCCCAGGGCUCAACCCUGGAACUGCCUUUAAUACUGGCAAUCUCGAGUCCGAGAGAGGUGAGUGGAAUUCCGAGUGUAGAGGUGAAAUUCGUAGA